UUGGAGGGCAAGUCUGGUGCCAGCAGCCGCGGUAAUUCCAGCUCCAAUAGCGUAUAUUAAAGUUGUUGCAGUUAAAAAGCUCGUAGUUGAAUUUCGGGAUCAGUACGUUGGUCGUGCCUUAGGUACGUACUGGUGUUACUGGUUCCUACCUUCUGACGAACCAUCAUGUCAUUCAUUUGGUGUGGCGGGGAAUCAGGACUGUUACUUUGAAAAAAUUAGAGUGUUUAAAGCAGGCUCGCGCUUGAAUACAUUAGCAUGGAAUAGUGAAAUAGGACGUUGAUCCUAUUUUGUUGGUUUCUAGGAUUGACGUAAUGAUUAAUAGGGAUAGUUGGGGGCAUUAGUAUUCAAUUGUCAGAGGUGAAAUUCUUGGAUUUAUUGAAGACUAACUACUGCGAAAGCAUUCGCCAAGGAUGUUUUCAUUAAUCAAGAACGAAAGUUAGGGGAUCGAAGACGAUCAGAUACCGUCGUAGUCUUAACCAUAAACUAUGCCGACUAGGGAUCGGAUGAUGUUAUUUUUAAUGACUCAUUCGGCGCCUUACGGGAAAC
rnacentral:rRNA from 1 species